ensembl:lncRNA
AUGACUGGGCUGUGGGUCACUGUUCUCAGAUGUGUGUCCCUCUUCUCAGAUGUAUGUGCCCACACAUUGAAUGCCCUUCCUUUCCUGAGGAUGAGCUGAACGACGUUGUGUGUGCUUGAUUAUGUGCCUUUUUACAAGCUCAAUGGCUGGAUCUUUGCUUUCCCAUGCACAUGUACUUCAACUAAGUGUCCAGAUAGGAACGGAAGCGUCACUGAAGUGGAUCCCGACCCUGUGCUCUGGGCUGAAGUGUUCUGUACUGAGGCUCCCAGCACAAGACCGCCGCCGGGGGUAUCUGGGCUGGCAUUGUUCAUAUCAUCCAAUACUUAAUUGGGGAGCACAUUAAAGGUACCCUCUUGGACCGCUACGAUGCUCCGUUGUUUCCUGAUGUCCAGUGGUCUUCCACAUGAACAUGCCCCUAGUACCCAUCGUUUGGCUUGUCUUUGGCAGGGUUUGUUUGGUUUUAGUGUAAAGUUCACAGAAAUGCUUGUCGUAUUUGAAGACGUUUUGUUUCUGGACGUCCUAAUGCAUUAACUGUGAGCCGUCCUUUCUGUAAAGGAGGCUAACGUUUGUUUGUAUUUCUUUGAGUUUACAUUAAGCCGGGUUAUCUGCCAGCUAAGAGCUUGCUAAUUCAUGUAGUUUUUUUUUUUUUAAAGGUUUUUAUUAAUCCUUUCAUAGGUCAUCCACCUCAUGCUGUUCAGAUAUGUAUCUUUUUAUAUUUAAGAGACCCAAAUAUGGGAUGAAAUGUAUGAUCAGUCUUCCUUCAAAAUAAAAGCACUCAAUGGCCUAAGUGAGUCGUUGUCUGUUAUCAUCUCCCUUCCUUACUGUGGUUAACCUCUUCUAUUUCUCCUUCGUUCUUUCUUUCAUUUAUCAUUUUAUUUCUCCAUGGCUUACUGGCCCACACACGGUAACGGUUCCUCCUCCUGCAACCCUCGAAGCUACUCGCUCUUCUCCCCUCACUCAUAUCUCCUCUUUUUUUAUCCCUUCACUCUUAUCUCCUCUUUUUUCUCCACUC